CGGCAAACAACGCAGUGCUGAUUAGAAAUAGACUUAGAGUUAGUACCAGAUCUGGGCUCUAGCAAGGCGACAGGGAGGGGAGAAUACUUAGUGAGAACUCACACCUCAGUCACUACAGUACUAUCUGAACCUGGGGGAGGUCGGGUGAGGACAUCCCUAAGGUGGAUCCGGAUUCCUCUUCUCUACAGCAACAGGUCUUCUGUUGAAUGAUCAGACAACCACCUCUGAGGUCAACUGAAGUGUGCAAGUCUCUCUUGUACUAAGGAGUUGUGAAUGAGACUGCCAUUGCUCCGGUCCAGAACAAACCUCACUGGACACCUCAGGCAGAGGGAGACUUCCCCAUGAAUGGAGCCCCUGCACUCCAGGAGUCUUUGCUAAAACAGAGAGAGCGACCAGAAGACUACAGCCGGAACCAGCCCUUUGGCUUUCAAACUCAAUUCAACUUCAAAUAUCUUUACAAAUAACAGACUGCAAUCAUCUGAGAAAGAGAGUGAGGAAUAAGCAUCAGAGACACUAUUGAAGCCAGACUCUGGUCUGGCGGUAAGACACCCAUACACAGUGAGCCUGCCCCUGCUGUCCUCCGAUGGAGACCCCGGGUAGAGCAAGACGCUGCUGCAACGUUACAGGGGGACCCCCAGUAAAGGAGUCAUCCAGAGGGGAACACAGCGUUGCAGUGUGCGACAUGAAUGCAGUGAAAACUACUGAGCUGUCUGUCCACAGUAAGGAGAACAGGCAAAGUCCUGGACACCUAAAGACUAAAGAGGACGAGGAGGACCCCUGGGACAGGAAGGACCCCAGUAACCACACAACCAGGAAGCAUCCCUCAACCACUGGGGGAAAGAAUGGUGAGUUUCAAUAAUAUUAGUUAUAAUUCUAAUUAAAUGAAAAUAUAAACAGGACUAACAUUUGUGACUGACCGGCUUGAUUCGCUCUUAUGUAGCAACAUUUGAAAAGUUGUUUUUUACAUUACAUACAAGUAGAGACUCACAGCUAGAAAAUGGUAUAUCAUACACUAC
rnacentral:lncRNA from 1 species